rnacentral:rRNA from 1 species
GACGAACGCUGGCGGCGUGCUUAACACAUGCAAGUCGAACGGACAGGCCCUGCUUUUGUGGGGUGCUCGAGUGGCGAACGGGUGAGUAACACGUGAGUAACCUGCCCUUGACUUUGGGAUAACUUCAGGAAACUGGGGCUCAUACCGGAUAGGAGCUCCUGCUGCAUGGUGGGGGUUGGAAAGUUUCGGCGGUUGGGGAUGGACUCGCGGCUUAUCAGCUUGUUGGUGGGGUAGUGGCUUACCAAGGCUUUGACGGGUAGGCGGCCUGAGAGGGUGACCGGCCACAUUGGGACUGAGAUACGGCCCAGACUCCUACGGGAGGCAGCAGUGGGGAAUAUUGCACAAUGGGCGGAAGCCUGAUGCAGCAACGCCGCGUGCGGGAUGACGGCCUUCGGGUUGUAAACCGCUUCCGCCUGUAACGAAGCGUGAGUGACGGUAAUGGGUAAAGAAGCACCGGCUAACUACGUG